rnacentral:rRNA from 1 species
CUUAACACAUGCAAGUCGAGGGGCAGCAUAAAAGUAGCAAUACUUGGUGGCGACCGGCGCACGGGUGAGUAACGCGUAUGCAACCUACCUAUCAGAGGGGAAUAACCCGGCGAAAGUCGGACUAAUACCGCAUAAAACAGGGGCACCGCAUGGUGAUAUUUGUUAAAGAAAUUCGCUGAUAGAUGGGCAUGCGUUCCAUUAGGUAGUUGGUGAGGUAACGGCUCACCAAGCCGACGAUGGAUAGGGGAACUGAGAGGUUGGUCCCCCACACUGGUACUGAGACACGGACCAGACUCCUACGGGAGGCAGCAGUGAGGAAUAUUGGUCAAUGGGCGGGAGCCUGAACCAGCCAAGUCGCGUGAAGGAAGAAGGAUCUAUGGUUACGUAAACUUCUUUUGCAGGGGAAUAAAGUGCAGGACGUGUCCUGUUUUGUAUGUACCCUGAGAAUAAGGAUCGGCUAACUCCGUGCCAGCCGCCGC